rnacentral:rRNA from 1 species
UACAGGGGGGGGCAAGCGUUGUUCGGAAUUACUGGGCGUAAAGGGUCUGUAGGUGGCCAACUAAGUCAGACGUGAAAUCCCUCGGCUUAACCGGGGAACUGCGUCUGAUACUGGAUGGCUUGAGUUCGGGAGAGGGAUGCGGAAUUCCAGGUGUAGCGGUGAAAUGCGUAGAUAUCUGGAGGAACACCGGUGGCGAAGGCGGCAUCCUGGACCGACACUGACGCUGAGGAGCGAAAGCCAGGGGAGCAAACGGG